AGAGUUUGAUCAUGGCUCAGAAUGAACGCUGGCGGCACGCUUAACACAUGCAAGUCGAACGAGAUCUUCGGAUCUAGUGGCAGACGGGUGAGUAACGCGUGGGAACCUGCCCAGUAGUAGAGAAUAACUUGGGGAAACUUAAGCUAAUACUUUAUACGUCCUUCGGGAGAAAGCUUUAUGCGCUAUUGGAUGGGCCCGCGUUAGAUUAGUUUGUUGGUGAGGUAACGGCUCACCAAGGCGACGAUCUAUAGCUGGUCUGAGAGGAUGAUCAGCCACACUGGGACUGAGACACGGCCCAGACUCCUACGGGAGGCAGCAGUGGGGAAUAUUGGACAAUGGGGGCAACCCUGAUCCAGCGAUGCCGCGUGAGUGAUGAAGGCCCUAGGGUUGUAAAACUCUUUCGUCAGGGAAGAUAAUGACGGUACCUGAAGAAGAAGAUCCGGCUAACUCCGUGCCAGCAGCCGCGGUAAUACGGAGGGGUCUAGCGUUAUUCGGAAUUACUGGGCGUAAAGCGAGCGUAGGCGGAUUUGUAAGUUGGAGGUGAAAUCCCAGAGCUUAACUCUGGAACUGCCUUCAAAACUACAUUUCUUGAGUUUGGUAGAGGAGAGUGGAAUUCCUAGUGUAGAGGUGAAAUUCGUAGAUAUUAGGAGGAACACCAGUGGCGAAGGCGACUCUCUGGGCCAAUACUGACGCUGANGUUCGGAAGCAUGGGUAGCGAACAGGAUUAGAUACCCUGGUAGUCCAUGCAGUAAACGAUGAGUGCUAGAUGUNGGGAANUUAAAUUUCCAGUAUCGCAGUUAACGCGUUAAGCACUCCGCC
rnacentral:rRNA from 1 species